UCCACUUACUUAAUCCUCAAGAGGAAUUUGAAAAAAAUAUGGAGAGGCUCUCUGAUAUUUUGGCGUCAUGUCCUUCUGCUGCUCAGCCUCAAAGUAGCUCUGCAUCAUCAUGGUCUUUUCGGCAGCAGAAAGCCUCAGAGCGCUGGAAAGAAGCAAGACCAUACCACCUAAAAUGCCUUAUUUCAAAAGAGGCUGUUGGUCAUCCCCUGUGUUGGCUUUGCAACGAGCCUGCUGUUAUUAGGUGCAGAGAGUGUCUUCCUGAGGAGUGGUUCUGUGGGGACUGUGAUGUAUUGCAUCACAAAAAACAGCCACUCCACAACAGGGAAUGCGUGAUUCGUGGUUUUUUUGAAGCCAUUCCUCCAACCACAUGCAUCAUUAAAGGGGAAG